CGCCACUCCCCUCCUCUCCUCCCCCACACCUCCAGAUCUCGCCUCCGUCGCCGCACCGCCGCCACCGUUAGCGAUGAAGACGAUCCUCUCCUCCCAGUCCAUGGACAUCCCCGAAGGCGUGGAGGUCACGAUCAAGGCCAAGAUGAUCACCGUCGUCGGCCCCCGAGGCACCCUUACGAAGAACUUCAAGCAUCUCAACCUCGACUUCCAGCUCGCCGAGGCCGGCCGGAAGCUCAAGGUCGACGCCUGGUUCGGAUCCCGCAAGACGAUGGCGGCGAUCCGAACCGCGAUUUCGCAUGUGCAGAAUCUCAUCACUGGGGUCACCAAGGGGUACCGGUACAAGAUGAGGUUCGUGUAUGCUCAUUUCCCGAUCAAUGCGUCGAUUACGAACGGGAACACGGCGAUCGAGAUCAGGAAUUUCCUCGGCGAGAAGAAGGUGCGGAAGGUGGAUAUGCUUGAUGGAGUAACAGUUCUGAGGUCUGAGAAGGUGAAGGAUGAGCUGGUCCUAGAUGGCAAUGAUAUUGAGCUUGUGUCUCGGUCUGCUGCUCUUAUUAACCAGAAGUGCCAUGUGAAGAAAAAGGACAUCAGGAAGUUCUUGGAUGGCAUUUACGUGAGUGAGAAAGGAACCAUGUCUGAAGAGUAGUCUCAUCUUUUGUAGCAUGCAAGGGAAUGUCUCAUCUUUUGUCCUUGUUUGAGAAGAAUCUUAUCUGGUUAGACUAAUUUUUAUUGUCUUUGUUUGUCUUAUGUUGGUAACAUUUGGUAUGGUAUUUUGAGAUUUUG
rnacentral:misc_RNA from 1 species